AGAAUGUACAACACCAAGAGUGAACUCUGAUGCAAUCUAUAGACUGUGAUGAAGAUGAUGUGUGAAAAUAAGUGCGUGAAUUGUAACUAAUGAACUACUCAGCAGAGGGACACUGACAAAGGGAGAGUCUGAGCAUGAGUGGUGCGAAUUUUUAGGAUAAAGAGUGAAGAUUGCAGACUACAUUGAGAAAAUAAGAAAUCAUAUGUGGACAAGAACACUGAGAAGUAUUUAAGCAAUAAAUGGGAAAGGCACAAAACUGCAUGGUACUAGCAAAGAAACAUAAAGGAUGAUCAGUGGAACUGAUUAGAAGAUGCAAAAAAAAAAAGAAGAUGCGAGAACAACUCCAAACAUACUCAACCAC
rnacentral:lncRNA from 1 species